rnacentral:rRNA from 1 species
GACGAACGCUGGCGGCGUGCUUAACACAUGCAAGUCGAACGGAAAGGCCCUGCUUUUGUGGGGUGCUCGAGUGGCGAACGGGUGAGUAACACGUGAGUAACCUGCCCUUGACUUUGGGAUAACUUCAGGAAACUGGGGCUAAUACCGGAUAGGAGCUCCUGCUGCAUGGUGGGGGUUGGAAAGUUUCGGCGGUUGGGGAUGGACUCGCGGCUUAUCAGCUUGUUGGUGGGGUAGUGGCUUACCAAGGCUUUGACGGGUAGCCGGCCUGAGAGGGUGACCGGCCACAUUGGGACUGAGAUACGGCCCAGACUCCUACGGGAGGCAGCAGUGGAGAGUAUUGCACAAUGAGCGGAAGCCUGAUGCAGCAACGCCGCGUGCGGGAUGACGGCCUUCGGGUUGUAAACCGCUUUCGCCUGUGACGAAGCGUGAGUGACGGUAAUGGGUAAAGAAGCACCGGCUAACUACGUG